GACGAACGCUGGCGGCGUGCUUAACACAUGCAAGUCGAACGAAGAGCGAUGGAAGCUUGCUCUAUCAAUCUUAGUGGCGAACGGGUGAGUAACGCGUAAUCAACCUGCCCUUCAGAGGGGGACAACAGUUGGAAACGACUGCUAAUACCGCAUACGAUCUAACCUCGGCAUCGAGGAUAGAUGAAAGGUGGCCUCUACAUGUAAGCUAUCACUGAAGGAGGGGAUUGCGUCUGAUUAGCUAGUUGGAGGGGUAACGGCCCACCAAGGCGAUGAUCAGUAGCCGGUCUGAGAGGAUGAACGGCCACAUUGGGACUGAGACACGGCCCAGACUCCUACGGGAGGCAGCAGUGGGGAAUCUUCCGCAAUGGACGAAAGUCUGACGGAGCAACGCCGCGUGAGUGAUGACGGCCUUCGGGUUGUAAAGCUCUGUUAAUCGGGACGAAAGGCCUUCUUGCGAAUAGUGAGAAGGAUUGACGGUACCGGAAUAGAAAGCCACGGCUAACUACGUG
rnacentral:rRNA from 1 species